rnacentral:rRNA from 1 species
CACGUAGGAGACUAGCGUUAUCCGGAUUUACUGGGCGUAAAGCGCGUGCAGGCGGCUCGGAUAGUUGGAUGUGAAAGCUCCCGGCUUAACUGGGAGAGGUCGUUCAAUACUUCCGAGCUAGAGGAUGGGAGAGGGAGGUGGAAUUCCGGGUGUAGUGGUGAAAUGCGUAGAUAUCCGGAGGAACACCAGUGGCGAAAGCGGCCUCCUGGCCCAUAUCUGACGCUCAUACGCGAAAGCUAGGGUAGCAAACGGG